UGGAACUCUGGUGGGUGUGUUGUUGGU
rnacentral:sRNA from 1 species